GUUUUAAUAAUUUAACAUAAAAUAUUGGUCUUGUAAAUCAAAAAUAAGACUAUGUCUUUUAAAAUU
rnacentral:tRNA from 1 species